rnacentral:rRNA from 1 species
GAUGAACGCUGGCGGCGUGCCUAAUACAUGCAAGUCGAGCGAACAGACGAGGAGCUUGCUCCUUCGACGUUAGCGGCGGACGGGUGAGUAACACGUAUGUAACCUACCUAUAAGACUGGGAUAACUUCGGGAAACCGGAGCUAAUACCGGAUAAUAUUUCGAACCGCAUGGUUCGAUAGUGAAAGAUGGCUUUGCUAUCACUUAUCGAUGGACCUGCGCCGUAUUAGCUAGUUGGUAAGGUAACGGCUUACCAAGGCAACGAUACGUAGCCGACCUGAGAAGGUGAUAGGCCACACUGGAACUGAGACACGGUCCAGACUCCUAAGGGAGGCAGCAGUAGGGAAUCUGCCGCAAUGGGCGAAAGCCUGACGGAGCAACGCCGCGUGAGUGAUGAAGGUCUUCGGAUCGUAAAACUCUGUUAUUAGGGAAGAACAAACGUGUAAGUAACUGUGCACGUCUCGACGGUACCUAAUCAGAAAGCCACGGCUAACUACGUG